AUUUUUAUAGUUUAUUUUAAAAUAUAACAUUGAAAAUGUUAAGAAAAAUUUUUUUUAAAGAUA
rnacentral:tRNA from 1 species